GCGCGCCUGGUCCAGUGGUUCUUGACAGUUCAACAGUUCUGUAGCACAAUUGUGAAAUGUUUAGGACCACUAGACCCGGC
rfam:Mus musculus chromosome 12, GRC primary reference assembly.